UGCUGUUCUUGCGCCUUGGGAAAUGGUGAAUUACACUGUCCAUGAAUAGAGCCAGUAACAAAAGCAAGGUGCCAAUGGGCCUAGGUCUCUUCCUUUGAAGAAACCUGACCAUUGUAUGUGUGGCUCUGACUCCCAGAGUUGCAUCCUAGGACAGGAAGAAGAGCAGUACCUGCAGAGUGGAGACCCACAACUGACUCCACAUGUCCUGCUGUGUAUACUUCUGUUGGCCUAUGUGCUAAUCCCCCUGGUUGGCUGUGGUAGAGGUUUAGCCAUGAGACUAGAUGACUCCAUAUUGAAUUAUAGUUUUUCUGUUCUGUGUUUAACUUUGGCCAGGGAUUUAUUUCCUUUGGAAUAUUUGGAUUGGACAUACAUUUAACCAUCCUAUCCUUCAAAAGAAGA
rnacentral:lncRNA from 1 species